rnacentral:rRNA from 1 species
UACGAAGGGGGCUAGCGUUGCUCGGAAUCACUGGGCGUAAAGGGUGCGUAGGCGGGUCUUUAAGUCAGGGGUGAAAUCCUGGAGCUCAACUCCAGAACUGUCCUUGAUACUGAAGAUCUUGAGUUCGGGAGAGGUGAGUGGAACUGCGAGUGUAGAGGUGAAAUUCGUAGAUAUUCGCAAGAACACCAGUGGCGAAGGCGGCUCACUGGCCCGAUACUGACGCUGAGGCACGAAAGCGUGGGGAGCAAACAGG